rnacentral:rRNA from 1 species
UAACGCGUGGGAAUCUGCCUAGCAGUGGGGAAUAACCGAGGGAAACUUCGGCUAAUACCGCAUACGCCCUUCGGGGGAAAGAUUUAUCGCCUUUGGAUGAGCCCGCGUAGGAUUAGCCAGUUGGUGAGGUAAUGGCUCACCAAGGCGACGAUCGGUUGCUGGUCUGAGAGGAUGACCAGCCUCACUGGGACUGAGACACGGCCCAGACUCCUACGGGAGGCAGCAGUGGGGGUUAUUGGACAAUGGGCGCAAGCCUGAUCCAGCCAUGCCGCGUCAGUGAUGAAGGCCUUAGGGUUGU